rnacentral:rRNA from 1 species
CAGCAGCCACGGUAAUACGAAGGGGGCUAGCGUUGCUCGGAAUUACUGGGCGUAAAGGGCGCGUAGGCGGACAGUUCAGUCGGGGGUGAAAGCCCGGGGCUCAACCUCGGAAUUGCCUUCGAUACUGGCUGUCUUGAGUGUGAGAGAGGUGUGUGGAACUCCGAGUGUAGAGGUGAAAUUCGUAGAUAUUCGGAAGAACACCAGUGGCGAAGGCGACACACUGGCUCACUACUGACGCUGAGGCGCGAAAGCGUGGGGGGCAAACAGGAUUAGAUACCCGCGUAGUCCCUGUCUCUUAUAC